rnacentral:rRNA from 1 species
GAUGAACGCUGGCGGCGUGCUUAACACAUGCAAGUUGAACGGUAUGACAUGGAAGCUUGCUGAAGUGUCAUAUAGUAGCGGACGGGUGAGUAAUGCAUGAGAAGCUGCCAUUGGGAGGGGGACAACAGUUGGAAACGGCUGCUAAUACCCCGUAUGCCGGAAGGUGAAAGGGAGCGAUCCGCCCGAUGAGGUGCUCAUGUCCUAUCAGCUGGUUGGUGGGGUAACGGCCUACCAAGGCGACGACGGGUAGCCGGCCUGAGAGGGUGAACGGCCACACUGGAACUGAGAUACGGUCCAGACUCCUACGGGAGGCAGCAGUGGGGAAUAUUGGGCAAUGGGGGGAACCCUGACCCAGCGACGCCGCGUGAGGGAAGACGGCCUUCGGGUUGUAAACCUUUUUUGUACGGGAAGAAGGAAGUGACGGUACUGUACGAAUAAGUCCCGGCUAACUACGUGCCAGCCGCCGCAGUAA